UUAAAAAAAGUUUCAAUUCGCGUUUUUCCUUCCACUUUAUUCGUUUUUGCUUAGACGAUAUUCGCAUUUAUUAUUAGAAAAAAUUUCAUUCGCGCUUCUCCUUUGACCUGAUUCGUUUCUGCUUAUACGAUAUUGGUGUUUCUCUCUACUUAGAUGUUUUCAUCUGCGUAUGCUUUCAUCAGUGCGUGUUUCCUUCGUUUUUCAUCAGUACAAGGUGCCGCAAGCUGUACGACUGUCAUUUUAGGUAUCACAUUCCCUCUUCUCCUUCUCUUCUCUUUUUUGUUUCUGGUUCUUUGUUUCUGCUUACAUUCUCUGCCCUUUCGAUCCGCGUGUGGCACUCAUCAGUGCGUGUGGCGUCUUUGCUCCUUCAUUUCAGUUGCCAUUUUCAUAAGUGCUUGUUGCCUCAAGCUCCUUAAUUUUUGGACUGCCAUUUUAGGUAUCACAUUCCCUCUUUCUCCUUCUCUUCUCUAUUUUGGUUCUUCUUUGCCCUAUUUUUCUUUUAAAAG
rnacentral:lncRNA from 1 species